ensembl:lncRNA
AGAUUUUAGAAAGCUGCUGGGCUUCUCCCCCCUCCCCUUUAAGCAAGUGAAAUGCAAAUUCAGAUUUGAUACCCUGCCCUCGGCCAAUCAAAAAAAGGUUUUCACCUGCCAUUGGCCCACCCACCAAUCAGAGGAAGUGUCUGGAGUGAGAGCCCUCCCCUGGCCAAUGGAAGGCCAGCUCAGUCACUUCGUUAAUGAUGCAGCAGUACAAGGAAGGCCAUCACAUGUGAACUGGAAGGGGGCCAGCAUGGAGACACGGGGAGCGCACGAGAAGAAAAAAAAAGGCAAAAAGCGAGAAAGAAGGUGAGAAAGACAGAGCACCCACAUACGCAGAGACAUCGCCCCCGAUCCCAGCAAAUACGUACGUGGGGGAAGAAGGGGGUUACGCCAUCAAGUCCUGAAGCCCGUCGGACCACCCAUCGUCGCCUGCGCAGACCCAAAUCUCGGCCGGCCGUAAGGUGCCGCAGUCCCGAAUGUUCCAGAAACUGGUCCCGGCAACCCUUCCGCCAUCGCCCCGAAACCUCUUGCUCCCGACCCUGCCCCCCACUGCCACCCCACCUCUUCCCCGCGGGAGCCGCUCGCGCCACCUUGCGUGUCAUCUCCCUAGCCUAGGCUACCCAGAGGCCUCCGGCCCCCGACAGAUUUCUGAGCGCUUGGCAAGUGAGCUGGCAGAACCUGGUGCCCGGUGUUGCUAUGACUUGUUUCUUGAUUUCUCUCUCUCUCUCUGCUGCAGCACGGCUGUUGCUAGCAGACCUAUCGACGGAGCGCUCGCUCGCUCUCUCCUCUCUCCUCUCCCUCUCUCUCUCAGAGCUCUGUGACGCAGAUCUAAAUUCUCCAGUCUGCUCCUUGUGUUGCAAGAGCAGAACUGCAGCUUUUCCCCUGGAGAGCCGGAGGGCAGUGCCAAGGCUGGUCAAACAAGGCAAAAAAAAGUUGGGCCUACACUCCGCUUCUCUGGCCGCACUUGCCUGGCCCCUUUUACCCCAGACCUCACUGCUCUGGGGCAUAGAGGGCCUAGUGCCCGCAGGCUCACGCCUUCUUUGAGGACUCCCCUGCCAUAAGACUGCUUAACUCUUUGAGUGACAGUGCCCAGAGCCCAGACAGGGCUGUCCCACACUGAAUGUGGCGUCAUCGUUUCUUGAACCGUAGGUGCUUCUCCUGGAUCCCCCAAAAUAAUGGUCUCCACCCUGAGACCACUGUUCUAUUAACUCUUUCUGCCACAGACAAGUCUAGUAUUACAGCCAGAGCUGAUUUUUGUUAUUUUCUGCUUUUUUUGGCCAUAAACCAGGACCUUUUUUCUCCCUGGAAUUUCCUAAGGACAAAAUGCAUAAUUAAAACAUUGCCUGCUUACCCUGUGAGUUGCGAGUCUUCUACUGGGGCAGGAGUGAGAGAAACCGCACUGAAUGGCAGCUCGGCGAAUCUAGAGAAUCUCCACUCUUCCGGGGCUCAGAAUUUUAGGGCCUAGGUGGAUGCGUCCAAUCACUUCUCAAAGGCAGUUAGGCUACUCAGUCCCAGAGAUUCAGGUUGCUGAGUCAUUUGUUCCCAAGAAGAUCCUCUGACAACAUGAAAAGCAGCAAACCAGAGUGGCAGCCAAGCCUGAACGCUGAGCGGCCAGUGACUGGCUUUAAUGAGACAAGCAUCCACCAGCCCACCCCCCACUGCCCCUGCCACGGUAAUACAUGGGCAUUCACACCUGGAAUCGCUUACAAGGAGGGGGUUUCUCACUAAUGCUCUGGAGACUGAUUGGGCUUGUUUUUGGAUACUGACAGGUCUCCAUUGCAGCAGAGCACACAGCUCCAACUCCCAACAUUUUCCUGCCCUAUGACCCAGAAAUAGCUCCCGAACAGCUCAGGUGCUAACUCACAGAACCACACACACCUAGACAGGCUCCAGGUGUCUUGGAUUCCCA